AUGCUUAACACAUGCAAGUCGAACGGAAACGAUGGAAGCUUGCUUCCAGGCGUCGAGUGGCGGACGGGUGAGUAAUGCUUGGGAAUCUGCCUAAUAGUGGGGGAAAACACGGGGAAACUCGUGCUAAUACCGCAUAAUCUCUACGGAGGAAAGAGGGCCUCUACAUGUAAGCUCUCGCUAAUAGAUGAGCCCAAGUCAGAUUAGCUUGUUGGUGAGGUAAAAGCUCACCAAGGCUACGAUCUGUAGCUGGUCUGAGAGGACGAUCAGCCACACUGGGACUGAGACACGGCCCAGACUCCUACGGGAGGCAGCAGUGGGGAAUAUUGCACAAUGGGCGCAAGCCUGAUGCAGCAAUACCGCGUGUGUGAAGAAGGCCUUAGGGUUGUAAAGCACUUUCAAUAGAGAAGAAAAGCUUAGAGUUAAUAACUCUAAGCAUUGACGUAACCUAUAGAAGAGGCACCGGCUAAAUCCGUGCCAGCAGCCGCGGUAAUACGGAUGGUGCGAGCGUUAAUCGGAAUUACUGGGCGUAAAGCGCGCGUAGGCUGUUUUAUAAGUCGGAUGUGAAAUCCCCGGGCUCAACCUGGGAACUGCAUCCGAAACUAUUCAACUAGAGUAUGGGAGAGGUAAGUAGAAUUUCCGGUGUAGCGGUGAAAUGCGUAGAUAUCGGAAGGAACACCAGUGG
rnacentral:rRNA from 1 species